GACCACUACGGUAGCCUAAGAGGUUAGAGAGUCCGCCUCGGAUGCGGGAGGUCGCGGGUUUGAACCCUGGCAGAGUCA